rnacentral:rRNA from 1 species
GAUGAACGCUAGCUACAGGCUUAACACAUGCAAGUCGAGGGGCAGCAUGGUCUUAGCUUGCUAAGGCCGAUGGCGACCGGCGCACGGGUGAGUAAUACGUAUCCAACCUGCCGUCUACUCUUGGACAGCCUUCUGAAAGGAAGAUUAAUACAAGAUGGCAUCAUGAGUCCGCAUGUUCACAUGAUUAAAGGUAUUCCGGUAGACGAUGGGGAUGCGUUCCAUUAGAUAGUAGGCGGGGUAACGGCCCACCUAGUCUUCGAUGGAUAGGGGUUCUGAGAGGAAGGUCCCCCACAUUGGAACUGAGACACGGUCCAAACUCCUACGGGAGGCAGCAGUGGGGAAUAUUGGGCAAUGGGCGCAAAGCCUGACCCAGCAACGCCGCGUGAAAGGAAGAAGGCUUUCGGGUUGUAAACUUCUUUUCUUAGGGACGAAGCAAGUGACGGUACCUAAGGAAUAAGCCACGGCUAACUACGUGCCAGCCGCCGCUGUAAG